rnacentral:rRNA from 1 species
AGCAGCCGCGGUAAUUCCAGCUCCAAUAGCGUAUAUUAAAGUUGUUGCAGUUAAAAAGCUCGUAGUUGAAUUUCGGGAUUGACUCAUCGGUCGUGCCUUAAGGGGUAUGAACUGGUGUAGUCAGUCUCUCACCUUCUGGAGAACCGCGAUGUCCUUAAUUGGGUGCCGCGAGGAACCAGGACCUUUACUUUGAAAAAAUUAGAGUGUUUAAAGCAGGCUUGUGCUAUGAAUACAUUAGCAUGGAAUAAUAAUUUAGGACAUUGGUUCUAUUUUGUUGGUUUCUAGGACUGAAGUAAUGAUUGAUAGGGAUAGUUGGGGGUGCUAGUAUUCAGCGGCCAGAGGUGAAAUUCUUGGAUUCGCUGAAGACUAACUUAUGCGAAAGCAUUCACCAAGGAUGUCUU